UACGUAGGUCCCGAGCGUUGUCCGGAUUUAUUGGGCGUAAAGCGAGCGCAGGUGGUUUAUUAAGUCUGGUGUAAAAGGCAGUGGCUCAACCAUUGUAUGCAUUGGAAACUGGUAGACUUGAGUGCAGGAGAGGAGAGUGGAAUUCCAUGUGUAGCGGUGAAAUGCGUAGAUAUAUGGAGGAACACCGGUGGCGAAAGCGACUUUCUGGACUGUAACUGACGCUGAGGCACGAAAGUGUGGGGAGCAAACAGG
rnacentral:rRNA from 1 species